rnacentral:rRNA from 1 species
UUGAGCGGAGAUAUAUGGAGCUUGCUUUAUAUAACUUAGCAGCGAACGGGUGAGUAACACGUAGAUAAUCUAUCCUAUACUGGGGGAUGGCCCGAUGAAAGUUGGAUUAAUACCGCAUAUAGCUAUAUAGUUGCAUGAUUAUGUAGUGAAAGAUUUAUUGGUAUAGGAGGAGUCUGCGGCACAUUAGCUAGUAGGUGAGGUAAAGGCUUACCUAGGCGACGAUGUGUAGCCGGUCUGAGAGGAUGAACGGCCACAAUGGAACUGAGACACGGUCCAUACUCCUACGGGAGGCAGCAGUGGGGAAUAUUGCACAAUGAGGGAAACCCUGAUGCAGCAACGCCGCGUGAGUGAAGAAGGUUUUCGGAUUGUAAAGCUCUGUUAGCAGGGAAGAGGAAGGACGGUACCUGCAGAGGAAGCCACGGCUAACUACGUGCCAGCAGCCGCGGUAAUACGUAGGUGGCAAGCGUUGUUCGGAAUAACUGGGCGUAAAGGAUGCGUAGGCGGUUAAACAAGUUAUAUGUUAAAUAUAUAGGCUUAACCUGUAGAAAGCAUAUAAAACUGUUUAACUAGAGUGCAGGAGAGGUAAGUGGAAUUCCUAGUGUAGCGGUGAAAUGCGUAGAGAUUAGGAAGAACACCAGUGGCGAAGGCGACUUACUGGACUGUAACUGACGCUGAGGCAUGAGAGCAUGGGGAGCAAACAGGAUUAGAUACCCUGGUAGUCCAUGCUGUAAACGAUGGGUACUAGGUGUGGGUUGUGAAUAACAAUUCGUGCCGUCGCAAACGCG